rnacentral:rRNA from 14 species
UUUGAUCCUGGCUCAGAACGAACGUUGGCGGCGUGGAUGAGGCAUGCAAGUCGAACGCGAAAGCCUUCGGGCAAGUAGCGUGGCGGACGGGUGAGUAACACGUAAUCAAGCUACCUGACAGACAGGGAUAACUUCGGGAAACCGGAGACAAUACCUGAUGGUCUCACGGCAUCGCAUGUUGCUGUGUGUAAAUGGACGGGAUCCUUCGGGAUCGUCUGCUGUCAGAGGUGAUUGCGGCCCAUCAGCUUGUUGGUAGGGUAAUGGCCUACCAAGGCGACGACGGGUAGCCGGCCUAAGAGGGUGGUCGGUCACACUGGGACUGAGACACUGCCCAGACUCCUACGGGAGGCUGCAGUCGAGAAUCUUCCGCAAUGGACGAAAG